AAGUCGUAACAAGGUAUCCGUAGGUGAACCUGCGGAUGGAUCAUUAUCACGUAUCCACGUAUCAACCAUUGUGAACUGUACCUACCUUUGAGAGGAGUAUGAGUGAUAAGAGAGUUUUUUAUGUUAUGUGAAAAACUUUUUCCUCUCAAAGUGUAUUUUUAUCACUUUAUUAACUAUUUUAACUAUUUAUUAUAUUUUUUGUCUGAUAUUAUUUCUUACUCUCUCGGGAGAAGAAAUUCAUUACGAAACAAAGAACAACUCUUAGCAACGGAUAUCUUGGUUCUC
rnacentral:misc_RNA from 1 species